CCUACGGGAGGCAGCAGUGAGGAAUAUUGGUCAAUGGCCGAGAGGCUGAACCAGCGAAGUCGCGUGAGGGAAGACGGCCCUACGGGUUGUAAACCUCUGUUGUCGGGGAGCAAAUAGAGUCACGUGUGACUCAUGGAGAGUACCCGAAGAAAAAGCAUCGGCUAACUCCGGGCCAGCAGCCGCGGUAAUACGGAGGAUGAGAGCGUGAUCCGGAUGUGUGGGGUUGAAAGGGUGGGCAGGCGGAGGUGCAAGUCAGUGGUCAAAGUGCGGGGCUCAACCCCGUACUGCCGUUGAAACUGCAUCCCUUGAGUGCGAGAGAAGUAUGCGGAAUGCGCGGUGUAGCGGUGAAAUGCAUAGAUAUCGCGCAGAAC
rnacentral:rRNA from 1 species